UACAGAGGCCUCAAGCGUUGUUCGGAUUCAUUGGGCGUAAAGGGUGCGUAGGUGGCGCGCUAAGUCAGGUGUGAAAUUUCGGAGCUUAACUCCGAAACUGCAUUUGAUACUGGCGUGCUUGAGGACUGGAGAGGAGACUGGAAUUCCGGGUGUAGCGGUGGAAUGCGUAGAGAUCCGGAAGAACACCGGUGGCGAAGGCGGCCUGCUGGGCAGUGGCUGACACUGAGGCGCGACAGCGUGGGGAGCAAACAGG
rnacentral:rRNA from 1 species